rnacentral:rRNA from 1 species
GACGAACGCUGGCGGCGUGCUUAACACAUGCAAGUCGAACGGAAAGGCCCUGCUUUUGUGGGGUGCUCGAGUGGCGAACGGGUGAGUAACACGUGAGUAACCUGCCCUUGACUUUGGGAUAACUUCAGGAAACUGGGGCUAAUACCGGAUAGGAGCUCCUGCUGCAUGGUGGGGGUUGGAAAGUUUCGGCGGUUGGGGAUGGACUCGCGGCUUAUCAGCUUGUUGGUGGGGUAGUGGCUUACCAAGGCUUUGACGGGUAGCCGGCCUGGGAGGGUGACCGGCCACAUUGGGACUGAGGUACGGCCCAGACUCCUACGGGAGGCAGCAGUGGGGAAUAUUGCACAAUGGGCGGAAGCCUGAUGCAGCGACGCCGCGUGCGGGAUGACGGCCUUCGGGUUGUAAACCGCUUUCGCAUGUGACGAAGCGUGAGUGACGGUAAUGGGUAAAGAAGCACCGGCUAACUACGUG